rnacentral:rRNA from 1 species
GUGGGGAAUCUUGCGCAAUGGGCGAAAGCCUGACGCAGCCAUGCAGCGUGAAUGAUGAAGGUCUUAGGAUUGUAAAAUUCUUUCACCGGGGACGAUAAUGACGGUACCCGGAGAAGAAGCCCCGGCUAACUUCGUGCCAGCAGCCGCGGUAAUACGAAGGGGGCUAGCGUUGCUCGGAAUUACUGGGCGUAAAGGGCGCGUAGGCGGACAGUUUAGUCAGAGGUGAAAGCACAGGGCUCAACAUUGGAAUUGCCUUUGAUACUGGCUGUCUUGAGUACGGGAGAGGUGAGUGGAACUCCGAGUGUAGAGGUGAAAUUCGUAGAUAUUCGGAAGAACACCAGUGGCGAAGGCGACUCACUGGCCCGUUACUGACGCUGAGGCGCGAAAGCGUGGGGAGCAAACAGGAUUAGAUACCCUUGUAGUCC